AUGGAGGAAGAAGGUCACCACAGAGGUAGGGAGAAGGUCACCAUAAAGUCAGGGAGAAGGUCACAUAAGGUGCAGAAAGAAUGUCAGAGUUCAACAAUGGGGUGUGUGAUCUUUGUGUUGUUUUUGGGGUGCAAAUCAUGGGUAUGUGAUUUCACAUCCUGUGUACUAUUGAUAUGGCUUCUCUUAGCCUUGAACCAUUUGCCUACAAAUAUGAUAGUCGCAAUGCUUCCGUCAUGUGUAAAGAAAAUUAGAUAUGUACAUGUACACAACCUACAACAACUUUACGGGGAGUUGAUGGAUUAUUCAGUGGUUGUUGCUGCCACUACUGAUUUUUUCUUGAGACGGUCUUCAUCACCAAUCAAUAAUUCACUUGUUUCUUGGUUGCAUCUAGUUCCCUCGCUCCACCUCGACACCGAUUCCUUUAGCUAG
rnacentral:rRNA from 1 species